rnacentral:sRNA from 1 species
CGACUGUGCCUUUCAGGCAUCCUCUCCUAAAAACUUUCAGGGUCGGCUUCGCCGGCCCUUUUUUUUGUGCGCG